GCACGGGUGCGUAACGCGUAUGUAACCUACCUAUAACAGGGGCGAUAACACUGAGAAAUUGGUACUAAUUCCCCAUAAUAUUCGGAGAGGCAUCUCUCCGGGUUGAAAACUCCGGUGGUUAUAGAUGGACAUGCGUUGUAUUAGCUAGUUGGUGAGGUAACGGCUCACCAAGGCAACGAUACAUAGGGGGACGUGAGAGGUUAACCCCCCACCACUGGUACUGAGACACGGCCCAGACUCCUACGGGAGGCAGCAUG
rnacentral:rRNA from 1 species